CCCUCAGAGUGUUAUAAGAAACCAAAGUAGCUUUUAGCAAAAUGGGACACGUUGAACAGGGAA
rnacentral:sRNA from 12 species